rnacentral:rRNA from 1 species
ACGUAGGAGGCGAGCGUUAUCCGGAUUCACUGGGCGUAAAGCGCGUGCAGGCGGUUCGGUAAGUUGGGCGUGAAAUCUCCCGGCUCAACUGGGAGAGGUCGUUCAAUACUACCGGACUUGAGAGCGAUAGAGGAAAAUGGAAUUCCCGGUGUAGUGGUGAAAUGCGUAGAUAUCGGGAGGAAUACCGGUGGCGAAGGCGACGCUCUGGUCCAGCCCUGACACUGAGGCGCGAAAGCGUGGGGAGCAAACGG